rnacentral:rRNA from 1 species
GAUGAACGCUGGCGGCGUGCCUAAUACAUGCAAGUCGAGCGAAUGGAUUAAGAGCUUGCUCUUAUGAAGUUAGCGGCGGACGGGUAAGUAACACGUGGGUAACCUGCCCAUAAGACUGGGAUAACUCCGGGAAACCGGGGCUAAUACCGGAUAACAUUUUGAACCGCAUGGUUCGAAAUUGAAAGGCGGCUUCGGCUGUCACUUAUGGAUGGACCCGCGUCGCAUUAGCUAGUUGGUGAGGUAACGGCUCACCAAGGCAACGAUGCGUAGCCGACCGGAGAGGGUAGUCGGCCACACUGGGACUGAGACACGGCCCAGACUCCUACGGGAGGCAGCAGUAGGGAAUCUUCCGCAAUGGAAGAAAGUCUGACGGAGCAACGCCGCGUGAGUGAUGAAGGCUUUCGGGUCGUAAAACUCUGUUGUUAGGGAAGGACAAGUGCUAGUUGAAUAAGCUGGCACCUUGACGGUACCUAACCAGAAAGCCACGGCUAACUACGUGCCAGCAGCCGCCGUAA